GAUGAACGCUGGCGGCGUGCCUAACAUAUGCAAGUCGAACGAAGCACUUUAGCUUGAUUCUUCGGAUGAAGGCUAUUGUGACUGAGUGGCGGACGGGUGAGUAACGCGUGGGUAACCUGCCUCAUACAGGGGGAUAACAGUUAGAAAUGACUGCUAAUACCGCAUAAGACCACGGAGUCGCAUGGCUCAGUGGGAAAAACUCCGGUGGUAUGAGAUGGACCCGCGUCUGAUUAGGUAGUUGGUGGGGUAACGGCCUACCAAGCCGACGAUCAGUAGCCGACCUGAGAGGGUGACCGGCCACAUUGGGACUGAGACACGGCCCAACCUCCUACGGGAGGCAGCAGUGGGGAAUAUUGCACAAUGGGGGAAACCCUGAUGCAGCGACGCCGCGUGAGCGAAGAAGUAUUUCGGUAUGUAAAGCUCUAUCAGCAGGGAAGAAAAUGACGGUACCUGACUAAGAAGCACCGGCUAAAUACGUGCCAGCCGCCGCCGUAA
rnacentral:rRNA from 1 species